rnacentral:misc_RNA from 1 species
AACGGUCUAUACCUGCGGUACCUGCGGAAGGAUCAUUAUCGAGUUUUGACUGGGUUGUAGCUGGCCUUCCGAGGCAUGUGCACGCCCUGCUCAUCCACUCUACACCUGUGCACAAAUUGUAGGUUUCAGAUGGCGUAGCGUGCCUUUGUGGGCUCGUGAAGCAGUCUGUGCCUGCGUUUACUACAAACUCUUGCAUGUAACAGAAUGUGUAUUGCGAUGUAACGCAUCUAUAUACAACUU